UGGGGAAUAUUGGACAAUGGGGGCAACCCUGAUCCAGCGAUGCCGCGUGUGUGAAGAAGGCCUGCGGGUUGUAAAGCACUUUAGUUGGGGAGGAGAAGGUGCGUAUGAAUAGUGCGCGCUGGAGACGUUACCCAAAGAAUAAGCACCGGCAAACUCUGUGCCGGCAGCCGCGGUAAUACAGAGGGUGCAAGCGUUAAUCGGAGUUACUGGGCGUAAAGGGCACGUAGGUGGUUAUGUAAGUCAGUUGUGAAAUCCCCGGGCUUAACCUGGGAACUGCAGCUGAUACUGUAUGACUAGAGUCGAAGAGAGGGAAGCGGAAUUCCAGGUGUAGCGGUGAAAUGCGUAGAUAUCUGGAGGAACACCGGUGGCGAAGGCGGCAUCCUGGACCGGUAUUGACGCUGAGUGAGCGAAAGCCAGGGGAGCAAACGGGAUUAGAUACCCAGGUAGUCCCUGAGCGGGCUGGCAAGGCGCAU
rnacentral:rRNA from 1 species